AAUUAACGUUACGGGAAACGGAGCUAAUACCGGAUAAUAUUUCGAACCGCAUGGUUCGAUAGUGAAAGAUGGUUUUGCUAUCACUUAUAGAUGGACCCGCGCCGUAUUAGCUAGUUGGUAAGGUAACGGCUUACCAAGGCGACGAUACGUAGCCGACCUGAGAGGGUGAUCGGCCACACUGGAACUGAGACACGGUCCAGACUCCUACGGGAGGCAGCAGGC
rnacentral:rRNA from 1 species